rnacentral:lncRNA from 1 species
CCCCCCCCCCCCCCCCCCCCCCCCCCCCCCCCCCCCCCCCCCCCCCCCCCCCCCCCCCCCCCCCCCCCCCCCCCCCCCCCCCCCCCCCCCCCCCCCCCCCCAAAAAAAAAAAAAAAAAAAAAAAAAAAAGAACAGGUAGUAAAGAAUAGGAGUCAUUAGGGGAUCAGAUUAAUGUGAAUGUAGAUUCCUUCCCACUGGGAGCUGCAACCAGCUGAAGAGUUGUGGUUUUAGCUCCCGCAACCUUCUUUUUCUAAUAGACUCUGCUAACACGUAGCAAAUAUCUUGUGUCUCCCAGCUGCACAGCCAUCGAUGUUUCCAGCUUUGACUGAAGUUCGUGUUCAGUAAGUAAUGUCUGCAUUUCAACACACAGUCACCACUGUUUGUAGGCACUUUGUUCCUUGACUUCCUUGCUGCCUUAAUAGCAAAUGAAGGGAGGCUGCAGUGAGCAACACAGGACUUCUCAAGGGAAAGAGUGCAUAGAUGCCUUCAAGGAUCCUAAGUUUUUCCGGGAUGUGGUGACCAUCUUCCUAUUCAUCCCUGCAUAUUUGCACAUCCAAAAAUAUAAUUGCUUUGAAAAAUGUCAGCUGAACAACUUCUGCAGUGAAAACAUGGGCUCUUUAGCAUUAUUUGUUUGGGCACAGAAAUGCAAUUGUAUGUGCAAUGGAAACUGAAAACUUGGGCACAUCUCUCUCCAGUGAACAUCAUGGUUCUGUUAAACAAGCAUCUAGGAAAUCACAGAUUACACGUUUUUUAAGCUUGACUCCAUACCCACACACAACCAUCCACUGACCUAAGCCAGCAACAAGAGAUGAAGCAUUGUUGGUUUUGGGUAAGAAAAUGAGACAGUGAUGGUUUAUAAAUGCACUGCAUUUGCAAGGCAAGUUUUUCAUAGUGUGUGUGGAGGGGUAGUCUAUAGGGGUGGCUUCUAUGAAAAGCUUCUAGAAGCUUCUCCCAUGUCCAAUGGAGCCAAUGCCGUGCAGCUCUGAAACAGAGCCACAGGUGGUCAAGGCCAAGCCUAUCAGCAGUGGAGGUAGCUCCUCUGGAGUAACAGAAAGAGAAGAAGUUACUGUGUAGGGAAGGAGAGAAUUUGUGAGAUGUGAGAGAAGCAACUUUGCAGACACUAAAGUCGGUGAAGAAGGGUAAGAAAGAGAUGUUCCAGGGACCUGGGGUGAAGACCAUGGUGAAACUGUUCUCCUGUAGCCCACAAAAGUCCACAGAAAAGCAGAGAUCCACCUACAGCUUCUGGAGAAAUCCAAGCCAGAGAAGUGGAACUGUGAGGAGUCCUCCCCCGGUAAAGAAGGGAGCAGCAGAGACAAUAUGUGAUGAACUGACUGCAGUCUUCUCCAACUCCCUGCAUUUCUGGGAGAUGAGGUAGAGAAACUGGACAAGAAAAAGGGAGACAUGGGGUGGAAGGUGAUUCUUUAGUAUUUAGUUUUAUUUCUUAUUACCCUAUUCUGAUUUGAUUGGUAAUAAAUCCAACUGAUUUCUUCUCCAAGCUGAGUCUGUUUUGCCCGUGAUGGUAAUCAGUGACUGAUCUCUUCCUGUACUUAUCUCAAUCCACAAGAAUUCUCUCCUCUGUCCAGCUGAAAAGCAGAAUGACAGAGCAGCUUUGAGGAGCACCUGGUGUUCAGCCAGGGCUGACCCACCACAAGAGGCAGCCAUACAGCUGCAUUUUAAGAGACUCGUCAACCCCCCAACCUAGGGACAGCCAUGGGUGCAAGGACAGAAAACAGUGCUGAGGCAGCGCUCUAGUGUUCUGAGGUUCAUCUUGUGGGAGGGAUGUGAUGCUGUCCCACGGAUACGACACGAAGGCUUUGAGAGACCUUGGGAUGCAGGCUCAAAGCUAAUUUGCAUUUCUCUUUCUAUCAUUUUUCCUCCACACUGCUGACAGCUUCUUCAUUGCACUGCUACAGUGUCUCCAGACAUAGAUGACCCAC